AGCAGCCGCGGUAAUUCCAGCUCCAAUAGCGUAUAUUAAAGUUGUUGCAGUUAAAAAGCUCGUAGUUGAAUUUCGGGAUCAGUACGCUGGUCAUGCCUUUGGUAUGCACUGGUGUCACUGGUUUCUCCCUUCUGAAGAACCGUGAUGUCAUUAAUUUGGUGUCGCGGGGAAUCAGGACUGUUACUUUGAAAAAUUAGAGUGUUUAAAGCAGGCUCACGCUUGAAUACAUUAGCAUGGAAUAAUGAAAUAGGACGUUUGACCCUAUUUUGUUGGUCUCUAGGAUCGACGUAAUGAUUAAUAGGGAUAGUUGGGGGCAUUAGUAUUCAAUUGUCAGAGGUGAAAUUCUUGGAUUUAUUGAAGACUAACUACUGCGAAAGCAUUUGCCAAGGAUGUUUUCAUUAAUCAAGAACGAAAGUUAGGGGAUCGAAGACGAUCAGAUACCGUCGUAGUCUUAACCAUAAACUAUGCCGACUA
rnacentral:rRNA from 1 species